GUCCGUGCUACGAGUAGUAGAACGCUAGGCGACAGGUCUUAACACAUGACAAGUCGAGGGGCAGGCGGGGAUGAAGCUUGCUUCAUCCCGCCGGCGCCGGCGCACGGGUGAGUAACACGUAUGCAACCUGCCCCUGCGUGGGGAUAAGCCGGAGAAAUCCGGUCUAAUACCGCGUAACAUCCUUGCGGGACAUCCCCGUUAGGAUCAAAGGAAGCGAUUCCGGCCAGGGAUGGGCAUGCGGCGCAUUAGCUAGUCGGCGGGGUAACGGCCCACCGAGGCGACGAUGCGUAGGGGUUCUGAGAGGAAGGUCCCCCACACUGGUACUGAGACACGGACCAGACUCCUACGGGAGGCAGCAGUGAGGAAUAUUGGUCAAUGGGCGCGAGCCUGAACCAGCCAAGUCGCGUGAGGGAAGACGGUCCUAUGGAUUGUAAACCUCUUUUGCCGGGGAGCAAGUUGUGUCACGUGUGACACAGCUGAGAGUACCCGGAGAAAAAGCAUCGGCUAACUCCGUG
rnacentral:rRNA from 1 species